rnacentral:rRNA from 1 species
CCUACGGGUGGCUGCAGUGGGGAAUAUUGGACAAUGGGCGAAAGCCUGAUCCAGCCAUGCCGCGUGUGUGAAGAAGGCCUUCGGGUUGUAAAGCACUUUCAGUGGGGAAGAAAGCCUUGGGGCUAAUACCCUCGAGGAAGGACAUCACCCACAGAAGAAGCACCGGCUAACUCCGUGCCAGCAGCCGCAGGUAAUACGGAGGGUGCGAGCGUUAAUCGGAAUUACUGGGCGUAAAGCGCGCGUAGGCGGUCUGAUAAGCCGGUUGUGAAAGCCCCGGGCUCAACCUGGGAACGGCAUCCGGAACUGUCAGGCUAGAGUGCAGGAGAGGAAGGUAGAAUUCCCGGUGUAGCGGUGAAAUGCGUAGAGAUCGGGAGGAAUACCAGUGGCGAAGGCGGCCUUCUGGACUGACACUGACGCUGAGGUGCGAAAGCGUGGGUAGCAAACAGGAUUAGAUACCCGGGUAGUC